rnacentral:lncRNA from 10 species
GGGGCUCAUGCAGAAGCAGUUCCCGGACCCGACACUCUGGGUAGGAGACCACUAAACCCGGCCCCUCAAAGCAGAGGUGACCUUGCCCUCAUCGAGAGCGCACACAAGACGCCACUGUAAAAGGAUCACAGAUGGAGAGACAUUUUGCCACACGAUGAAUCACACACCACAUCUCAUCCCCGAGCUUCAGCUGCAGGACAAUGCUGCCAGAGGCCUGGUCCUCAGAGCUCACGAUCUUAUCAAAUUUAAUGGGCACAUCUGAAGAAGGAAACUUGCUCAGCACCGUGAGCCCCACAGUGAAAGCACUUUUUGGCAAGACUAGAGU